rnacentral:rRNA from 1 species
CAAGGCUUGACAUACACCGGAAACGGCCAGAGAUGGUCGCCCCCUUGUGGUCGGUGUACAGGUGGUGCAUGGUUGUCGUCAGCUCGUGUCGUGAGAUGUUGGGUUAAGUCCCGCAACGAGCGCAACCCUCGUUCUAUGUUGCCAGCGCGUUAUGGCGGGGACUCAUAGGAGACUGCCGGGGUCAACUCGGAGGAAGGUGGGGAUGACGUCAAAUCAUCAUGCCCCUUAUGUCUUGGGCUUCACGCAUGCUACAAUGGCCGGUACAAAGGGCUGCGAUACCGUAAGGUGGAGCGAAUCCCAAAAAGCCGGUCUCAGUUCGGGUUGAGGUCUGCAACUCGACCUCAUGAAGUCGGAGUUGCUAGUAAUCGCAGAUCAGCAACGCUGCGGUGAAUACGUUCCC